CGGGUAACCUGCCUCAAAGAGGGGAAUAGCCUCCCGAAAGGGAGAUUAAUACCGCAUAAUAUGUUUAAGUCGCAUGACUUUAACAUCAAAGGAUUUUCUUUUAAGAAAUUCCACUUUGAGAUGGACCCGCGGAGCAUUAGCUAGUUGGUGAGGUAACGGCUCACCAAGGCAACGAUGCGUAGCCGACCUGAGAGGGUGAUCGGCCACAUUGGAACUGAGACACGGUCCAGACUCCGUAGGAGG
rnacentral:rRNA from 1 species